ACGCUCGACACCUACGGAGGCAGCAGUGGGGAAUAUUGCACAAUGGGGGAAACCCUGAUGCAGCGACGCCGCGUGAAGGAAGAAGUAUCUCGGUAUGUAAACUUCUAUCAGCAGGGAAGAAAAUGACGGUACCUGACUAAGAAGCCCCGGCUAACUACGUGCCAGCAGCCGACGGUAAUCUGAGCGGGCUGGCAAGGC
rnacentral:rRNA from 1 species